rnacentral:lncRNA from 1 species
UUAUUAAUUCAUAUUAAUUUUAAUAUUGAUCCAAAAAAAUAUAAGAGUUUCACCAAAAAAAUUUAAAUAAAUUCUUCUUUCAUAUUUUGAAUUAAAAUUAUUUUUUGGAUCAUUAUUAAUAUUUUUCAUGAUUUAAUUGAUUUUGUGAAUGUUUUUUAAUUGUUUAAAAAUACUUUUAAGUUUCCAAAAAUUCUGAAAUUUUUUCUCCAAGGUCCUUUGACCUUGUUUGACCUAUGAUAAAU